GUCGAGGGGCAGCACGGGAGUAGCAAUACAACUGGUGGCGACCGGCGCACGGGUGAGUAACGCGUAUGCAACCUACCUAUCAGAGGGGAAUAACCCGGCGAAAGUCGGACUAAUACCGCAUAAAACAGGGGCACCGCAUGGUGAUAUUUGUUAAAGAAAUUCGCUGAUAGAUGGGCAUGCGUUCCAUUAGGUAGUUGGUGAGGUAACGGCUCACCAAGCCGACGAUGGAUAGGGGAACUGAGAGGUUGGUCCCCCACACUGGUACUGAGACACGGACCAGACUCCUACGGGAGGCAGCAGUGAGGAAUAUUGGUCAAUGGGCGGGAGCCUGAACCAGCCAAGUCGCGUGAAGGAAGAAGGAUCUAUGGUUCGUAAACUUCUUUUGCAGGGGAAUAAAGUGCAGGACGUGUCCUGUUUUGUAUGUACCCUGAGAAUAAGGAUCGGCUAACUCCGUGCCAGCAGCCGCGGUAAUACGGAGGAUCCGAGCGUUAUCCGGAUUUAUUGGGUUUAAAGGGUGCGUAGGUGGUUUGAUAAGUCAGCGGUGAAAGUUUGCAGCUUAACUGUAAAAAUGCCGUUGAAACUGUCGGACUUGAGUGUAAAUGAGGUAGGCGGAAUGCGUGGUGUAGCGGUGAAAUGCAUAGAUAUCACGCAGAACUCCGAUUGCGAAGGCAGCUUACUAAGCUACAACUGACACUGAAGCACGAAAGCGUGGGGAUCAAACAGGAUUAGAUACCCUGGUAGUCCACGCAGUAAACGAUGAUUACUAGCUGUUUGCGAUACACAGUAAGCGGCACAGCGAAAGCGUUAAGUAAUCCACCUGGG
rnacentral:rRNA from 1 species